rfam:Nadsonia fulvescens var. elongata DSM 6958 unplaced genomic scaffold NADFTscaffold_1, whole genome shotgun sequence.
GUCUGCGGCCAUAUCUAUUGGAAAGCACAAUAUCCCGUCCGAUCAAUAACAGUUAAGCCAGUGAGAGCCUUAAAUAGUACUACGGUGGGAGACCACGUGGGAACAUAAGGUGCCGCAGUCU